CCCGUUUCUUAUAUGGCCUGAGCCUGACACACUAUUCUAGCUAGACAUGGGUGUGGCUCGUAACACCUGAUGACCAAACGGAUCUACGGCACCAUCAAAUCUCAAACUUUAACUGCCAAAACUAUUCUUUUUCAUUCUGUAGUCCCUUCUAGAAUUACUAAACGUCCUUUUUUGGGCCGAGAUUUCCAGGAACGCUUUCUCGGGGUUUGUGUGCAUGUAUUUCAAACCAUACAGACCUAAAAAUUAUAAGUCAUUCCAUCUUUAUUCCCGUAGAGCCUUCCAGUAGUUCCUAAACCGCUCCAGUCGGAGCAUGUUAUCAUUCUUGUUAGUUCUAAGUGAAUUCCCUCGGUAUGAUAAUUCUUUCAUCAGUUUGUUCCCCGUUUCUUCUCUAGCCUGAGCCUGGCACACUAGUCUAGCUAGACAUGGGUGUGGCUCGUAACACCCGAUGACUAAAUGGAUCGACGGCACCAUCGAAUCUCAAACUUUAACUGCCAAAACUAUUGUUUUUCAUCCUGUAGUCCCAUUUAGAAUUACUAAACGUCCUUUUUUGGGCCGAGAUUUAGAGGAACGCUUUCUCGUGGUUUGUGUGCAAGAAUUUCAAACCAUACGGACCUAAAAAUUAGAAGUCAUUCCAUCUUUAUUCCCCUAGAGCCUUCCAGUAGUUCCUAAACCGCUCUAGUCGGAGCACGUUAUCAUUCUUGUUAGUUCUGAGAGAAUUCCCUCGGUAUGAUAAUUCUUUUAUCAGUUUGUUCCCCGUUUCUUCUCUAGCCUGAGCCCGACACACUAUUCUAGCUAGACAUGGGUGUGGCUCGUAACACCUGAUGACCAAACGGAUCUACGGCACCAUCGAAUCUCAAACUUUAACUGCCAAAACUAUUGUUUUUCAUCCUGUAGUCCCUUUUAGAAUUACUAAAUGUCCUUUUUUGGGCCGAGAUUUCCAGGAACGCUUUCUCAGGGUUUGUGUGCAAGUAAUUCAAACCAUACGGACCUAAAAAUUAGAAGUCAUUCCAUCUUUAUUCCCCUAGAGCCUUCCAGCAGUUCCUAAACCGCUCAAGUCAGUGCACGUUAUCAUUCUUGUUAGUUCUAAGUGAAUUCCCUCGGUAUGAUAAUUUGUUCAUCAGUUUGUUCCCCGUUUCUUCUCUAGCCUGAGCCUGACACACUAUUCUAGCUAGACAUGGGUGUGGCUCGUAACACCUGAUGACCAAACGGAUCUACGACACCAUCGAAUCUCAAACUUUAACUACCAAAACUAUUGUUUUUCAUCCUCUAGUCCCUUUUAGAAUUACUAAACGUCCUUUUUUGGGCCGAGAUUUCCAGGAACGCUUUCUCGGGGUUUGUGUGCAUGUAUUUCAAACCAUACAGACCUAAAAAUUAGAAGUCAUUCCAUCUUUAUUCCCGUAGAGCCUUCCAGCAGUUCCUAAACCGCUCCAGUCGGAGCAUGUUAUCAUUCUUGUUUGUUCUGAGUGAAUUCCCUCGGUAUGAUAAUUCUAUCAUCAGUUUGUUCCCCGUUUCUUCUCUAGCCUGAGCCUGGCAAACUAUUCUAGCUAGACAUGGGUGUGGCUCGUAACACCUGAUGACCAAACGGAUCUACGACACCAUCGAAUCUCAAACUUUAACUACCAAAACUAUUGUUUUUCAUUCUAUAGUCCCUUCUAGAAUUUCUAAACGUCCUUUUUUGGGCCGAGAUUUCCAGGAAUGCUUUCUCGGGGUUUGUGUGCAAGUAUUUCAAAUCAUACGGACCUAAAAAUUAGAAGUCAUUCCAUCUUUAUUCCCCUAGAGCCUUCCAGUAGUUCCUAAACCGCUCCAGUCGGAGCACGUUAUCAUUCUUGUUAGUUCAUAGUGAAUUCCCUCGGUAUGAUAAUUCUUUCAUCAGUUUGUUCCCCGUUUCUUCUCUAGCCUGAGCCUGGCACAGUAUUCUAGCUAGACAUGGGUGUGGUCGUAACACCUGAUGACUAAAUGGAUCGACGGCACCAUCGAAUCUCAAACUUUAACUGCCAAAACUAUUGUUUUUCAUCCUGUAAUCCCAUUUAGAAUUACUAAACGUCCUUUUUUGGGCCGAGAUUUAGAGGAACGCUUUGUUGGGGUUUGUGUGCAAGUAUUUCAAACCAUACGGACCUAAAAAUUAGAACUCAUUCCAUAUUUAUUCCCCUUGAGCCUUCCAGCAGUUCCUAAACCGCUCUAGUCGGAGCACGUUAUCAUUCUUGUUAGUUCUAAGAGAAUUCCCUCGGUAUGAUAAUUCUUUUAUCAGUUUGUUCCCCGUUUCUUCUCUAGACUGGGCCCGACACACUAUUCUAGCUAGACAUGGGUGUGGCUCGUAACACCUGAUGACCAAACGGAUCUACGGCACCAUCGAAUCUCAAACUUCAACUGCCAAAACUAUUGUUUUUCAUCCUGUAGUCCCUUUUAGAAUUACUAAACGUCCUUUUUUGGGCCGAGAUUUCCAGGAACGCUUUCUCGGGGUUUGUGUGCAAGUAUUUCAAACCAUACGGACCUAAAAAUUAGAAGUCAUUCCAUCUUUAUUCCCGUAGAGCCAUCCAGCAGUUCCUAAACCGCUCCAGUCGGAGCACGUUAUCAUUCUUGUUAGUUCUGAGUGAAUUCCCUCGGUAUGAUAAUUCUUUCAUCAGUUUGUUCCCCGUUUCUUCUCUAGCCUGAGCCUGACAAACUAUUAUAGCUAGACAUGGGUGUGGCUCGUAACACCUGAUGACCAAACGGAUCUAUGGCACCAUCGAAUCUCAAACUUUAACUGCCAAAACUAUUGUUUUUCAUCCUGUAGUCCCUUUUAGAAUUACUAAACGCCCUUCUUUGGGACGAGAUUUCCAGGAACGCUUUCUCGGGGUUUGUGUGAAAGUAAUUCAAACCAUACGGACCUAAAAAUUAGAAGUCAUUCCAUCUUUAUUCCCGUGGAGCCUUCCAGUAGUUCCUAAACCGCUCCAGUCGGAGCACGUUAUCAUUCUUGUUAGUUCUGAGUGAAUUCCCUCGGUAUGAUAAUUCUUUCAUCAGUUUGUUCCCUGUUUCUUCUCUAGCCUGAGCCUGGCACACUAUUCUAGCUAGACAUGGGUGUGGCUCGUAACACCUGAUGACUAAACUGAUCAAUGACACCAUCGAAUCUCAAACUUUAACUGCCAAAACUAUUGUUUUUCAUCCUGUAGUCCCAUUUAGAAUUACUAAACGUCCUUUUUUGGGCCGAGAUUUCCAGGAACGCUUACUCGGGGUUUGUGUGCAAGUAUUUCAAACCAUACUGACCUAAAAAUUAGAAGUCAAUCCAUCUUUAUUCCCCUAGAGCCUUCCAGCAGUUCCUAAACCGCUCCAGUCGGAGCACGUUAUCAUUCUUGUUAGUUCUGAGUGAAUUCCCUCGGUAUGAUAAUUCUUUCAUCAGUUUGUUCCUUGUUUCUUCUCUAGCCUGAACCUGACACACUAUUCUAGCUAGACAUGGGUGUGGCUCGUAACACCUGAUGACCAAACGGAUCUACGGCACCAUCGAAUCUCAAACUUUAACUGCCAAAACUAUUAUUUUUAAUCCUCUAGUCCCAUUUAGAAUUACUAAACGUCCUUUUUUGGGCCGAGAUUUAGAGGAACGCUUUCAUGCGGUUUGUGUGCAAGUAUUUCAAACCAUACGGACCUAAAAAUUAGAAGUCAUUCCAUCUUUAUUCCCCUAGAGCCUUCCAGCAGUUCCUAAACCGCUCCAGUCGGAGCAUGUUAUCAUUCUUGUUAGUUCUGAGUGAAUUCCCUCGGUAUGAUAAUUCUUUCAUCAGUUUGUGGCCCGUUUCUUCUCUAGCCUGAGCCUGACACACUAUUCUAGCUAGACGUGGGUGUGGCUCGUAACACCUGAUGACCAAACGGAUCUACGGCACCAUCGAAUCUCAAACUUUAAGUGCCAAAACUAUUAUUUUUAAUCCUGUAGUCCCAUUUAGAAUUAC
rnacentral:lncRNA from 1 species